GAAGUAAAUCUGACCUUCAGGUAGGUACUGUUAUUUUCACAAUCAUUCAUACAAGAUGUGCCAAGUUAUAAACUGAGAUUAAAGAUUUUACUAUAGUAUUGUUGCUGAAUGUGCUUAUUUGUCACUUUAUACACCAACAUUAAUUUGAUGCGAAGUCAAGUGAAAGUUAUGAAAUUCGUCAAGUUACUUUCAUCCAAUUAUACAAGUUUCAGUAAUUUAUUAUUUCUUUUAUACUUACCGCAUUUCGAUGUUGAGGACUGGCAGAUGAUGGUGGCAUUGUAUUGAACAGUGUGGCAGGUGUAGGUACGAAUCCUUUUGGCUGAGAAGGAGGCGCAGCCCAUGUCCUCGUAUCUUGAUACAGUCGUGAGUCCUGCUGGCUGUGGACUAUAUCGAAGUUCAACUGGCUGCUGAUAACCUGCCGCAGCCAUUUCGUUCGCUAAGCUUUCAGGUGGUAACGGUUGACCCCAUGUUCGUCGCUGAGAUUGCGCAUGAUCAUGUAAGUAGAACUGUGACUGUUGAGGGUCCUGAAUUCUCGUUGGUAUUGAAUUCAUUGGUGGUAUGGCAUAAUUCUGUGCAAUAAAUUGAUAUUUACCAUGUACAAUCUGUGCAUUUUAACAUAAACAGAAUAAAGGAACAGAGAAUCUACAAAGUAAUUUUCUCUUCCUGCUGGCAGUUGUAACAUGUUGCCUUUACCUGCAUAUGUUGCUGGCUUAAACUCUUUAAUUGCUGUAGUUGUUGCUGCAUCUGCUGCUGAUGUUGGCUCAUUAAAUGUUGUUGUUGAAUUUGAUUUUGUUGAUUGGCUAGCCGCUGUAUAUCUGCUUGAAUUUCGCUAAGACUGCUAUUCAUUCUGAAAAAAGUGAAAUGGGAUGUGAAAAUUUAUAAAUAUAAAUUAAAGCAUAGUAAUAGAAAUACUAACUGUGAUAUAGACUCAUGGUACUGAUCUAUGUCCAUAUUCUCAAUGUCUGGUGUGCGUCGUGUUUCGAUAAAAGGUGCACUGCCAUCCUGCUCAAGCCAUUUAUGUUCCACAUCUCGCACAUCUUCACUGAUUUCCU
rnacentral:lncRNA from 1 species